GGAGAGACACCAUAGCGCCACUCUGUCAUCCAUGGAGGACCUCCCUGCCCACUCCCCCUCAUCUGUGGUGCUGGAACACUGGUUCUCAGACUUGAUCAUUUCACUUAGCAUGAGCACCCUCCAGUCCCAUCCAUGUUGUAAUGAAAGAUAAAGGGGGAAAGACAGAAAGGAGAAAUACCACAUCAUUAUGAAGUUUCCCUUUGCAUGGUGCUUCCAUGUGGGACUGCAGAUGCUCCUUUGCUCAAUAAAAUACAAGUUCCUUCAAAAGAUACAAUUAUUGAAAAUAAUUUUGCUCUUUUUUUUUUUCUACGAGAGUGCUGCUAAUCUCUGGAUUAUGGAUUAUGGUAGUACUAAGGACUGAACCUGGGACCUCAGAGCUUUAGGUCUGAAAAUCUUUUGAAGUAUUUUUUAUUAGCUUUUAUUUAUUUAUUGGACAGAGACGGCCAGAAAUUGAGAGGGAGAGAGACAGACACCUGCAGCCCUGCUUUAUCACUUGUGAAGCUAUCCCCCUGCAGGUGGGGACC